rnacentral:rRNA from 1 species
ACGGAUCCUUCGGGAUUAGUGGCAGACGGGUGAGUAACGCGUGGGAAGCUACCUUGUGGUAGGGGACAACAGUUGGAAACGACUGCUAAUACCCUAUGAGCCCUAUGGGGGAAAGAUUUAUCGCCAUGAGAUGUGCCCGCGUUAGAUUAGCUAGUUGGUAAGGUAAUGGCUUACCAAGGCGACGAUCUAUAGCUGGUCUGAGAGGAUGAUCAGCCUAACUGGGACUGAGACACGGCCCAGACUCCUACGGGAGGCAGCAGUGGGGAAUAUUGGACAAUGGGGGCAACCCUGAUCCAGCCAUGCCGCGUGUGUGAUGACGGCCUUAGGGUUGUAAAGCACUUUCAGCAGUGAAGAUAAUGACAUUAACUGCAGAAGAAGCCCCGGCUAACUUCGUGCCAGCAGCCGCGGUAAUACGAAGGGGGCUAGCGUUGUUCGGAAUCACUGGGCGUAAAGAGUACGUAGGCGGACUGAUAAGUUAGGGGUGAAAUCCCAAGGCUCAACCUUGGAACUGCCUUUGAUACUGUCAGUCUUGAGAUCGAGAGAGGUGAGUGGAACUCCGAGUGUAGAGGUGAAAUUCGUAGAUAUUCGGAAGAACACCAGUGGCGAAGGCGGCUCACUGGCUCGAUACUGACGCUGAGGUACGAAAGCGUGGGGAGCAACAGGAUUAGAUACCCUGGUAGUCCACGCCGUAACGAUGAAUGCUAGUUGUCAGGUAGCUUGCUAUUUGGUGACGCAGCUAACGCAUUAAGC